ACAACAAGUUUCCUGUAUUGUCUUCUUUCUUCCUUCCAAAAUCUCUCUUUCGUCAUUCCUUUCCUAGUUUCCUGUAUUUUCUUCUUUCACUUUUUCAAAUCAAAACAACAUCUUUUCCUCACCAAUUUUUUCAUCAAAUCAACAACAACAUAAAUGGAAUAUGAAACCACAAGCACUUGAAAUGGAUGGAACAAUAACUAACCGGAACAAAAGGGGGAACACGGUGGUCGAAAAAGCAGCGGUGUAGUGCCGACGUCGGUGGAUUGCGGAAGCUUUACAAUUGCAGUUCUCUUUUGUUUUUACUCUAUUUUUCCUGUUUUUGUUUGGUGUACCCUUUCAAUUUCUAACCUUUCAUAUUUCAAUUUUGUUUUGCUGUUUUAAUUUUUAUGCCCUUUCUUUAUUCUUUGACCUUUCAAUUUUUACCUCUUAUUUUUAUUUUUUACCAAAUAAGUUUGGACCAGAGCCCGGGCAACUGCCCAGGGUAGCCCAUGUCUGCAUAAUGUACAAUUGACCAUUGGUUCUCCUUCAUCAGUGAAUUGUUUCCUAGUUACCAUUGGUGCAGGGCAGGCUAACACCCUCUUAAUUCAUGCAUUUUUAUACUGUUGCUUUAUUAUUACAUAUUUCUUUAUUUACUUUAUCCAUUUAAGUACUCCUGCAUUUACUUUUUGGAAUCUUUACAUUAAAAUACUUUUUAGCACUAAUACUUUUUCUCAAAUGUUUGACACAAAACGUCUUUUAGGAUUUUUUGAGUUUGAUCCUACAAGUAAAUUAGAACUCUUGAUCUUUUAUUAAAAACACAUGUAAAUAAAAGGGUAAUCUUCCACCUCUCAAUGGGCAUCUCAACAGUUGAUUGAAAUGGGCAAAUUUUCCCAUUUUAGGGACACGCUUGAGAAGUAGGGUCAAAAUUCAAUCCAACACACACUUUUCUCUCAACUGACCACUAUUAAAAAAAACUGUGACACAUAAAUCCCGACGGUUCUAUUGAAACCACCCUCCUUCUAAUUUUGAGACAGUUGACACAACGGUUUUAUACAACUGCCUCUUGCUUUCACAAAAUUAUAGAGAAUUUAUCUUCAAUUUUCCCCAUCUUGCUAGUAUUACUUCGAUUUGAAUUUACAAACUAGAUGGCCAUUGUUGAUACAGUUUGUCACGCAUACGUUGUCACGAACACACGGCACAACCGCUACACCGAAUAAGUUUUCAUGUCUUUGUUGGAAUAUGCUUGCAAUACUUCUUGUUAUGAAACACUUAGAUGCUUUGAGGAAGUACUUGUUCUUCUUGGGAGUUACAAAUAAAUUGAACACUACUAGAAAUACAUAGUUUAUUUGUGGAAAAUAAUCGGCAGGAAUACCUGCGGAUUUUCCGGCGACAUAGUUAAGCAAAAUAAACUUUCCUGCGAAAUAAGUUUCCCCAGAAAAUUCCACAGGAAAACCUACGGAUUUUGCUGCGGAAAUUAUAGUUUGUAUUAGAAAACAGACUACAAUCCAAAAUCCGCAGGUAAUUUUGCAGGAAAGUUUCAUGCGGAGUUUGCUGCGGAGUUAAUAAUUUGUAUCUACUUUCAGAUUUGCAGGUAAGUUCGCAUUUUUGUAUUAUAUUUUUGUUUCUUCUUAAAAUAAAAUGUUUUUUCUGAAAAAAGUUAAUAUUUUAUAAAAACAAUAGUAGUUUUAUUUUUUAAUUUUGGGUUACAAUUCAAAUUUAAUGUUUUCAAAAACAAUUUUAAUAAUAUAAUAAUAAUACUCAUCCAAUGUGCAUAAAGUUAUUUUACAAAUGCAUUCAAUCAAAUUAUAUCAUAUAGACAUUUUAAUUAUCAAGUUAUAUUUUAGAAACAUUAUAAUAUGAGUUUAUUGGAUGUAUGUGUAAAUGUUAGUGAUAAGAAAUAAUCUUAGUAUAUAUUAGUCCCAGGAGUUAAAUAAAAUUUACACUAUAUAUAUUUUUAUAUAAUUCAUAAUUAUAAAUAUUUUUAUAAAAUUAGAUUGAAAUUCUUACUUUUUCUAUUUUAUUAAGAAUUUAAUGGGAAUAUACCGACGGUUGUUUUACACCGUCACUGAAUUAUAACCAUUAAAUUUUAAGAAUAAUAAUUAUGAAUGGUUGGGAUGGACUGCCGUGUAAAUUGUAGGAAAAAAAAGUUUGGUCACAGUAAUAAGGUAUGGCUAAUUUCCACUCUAUAGCUUGUUUUUAUAUAAUGUAGUUGUUGUCUAAAACGAUGCAUCGCUGAAAAAAAUGUAACAUUAUAUGCCAUAUAUCUGUUGCUGUUUGGUAUCAGACAUGGAACUGAGUUGGAUCAUAGAGAAGUAUUCCUUUUCACAACUGGCCUUGCAGUGAUUGCAGUUCUAUAUUUCUUGAUAAAUUUGCAGCUUGAGAUGAAUCUUAGUAUCUAACUGAUAUAAGCUAUAAAAAAGCCCCUGAACUUGUUCCUCUAAGCUUAUUUGCAGUAAGAUUCAUAGUUUGGAAUAUAACUUAUUAGUUCAUUAUUUCUGAUGGAUUGAACUUACCUAACUUAUUAUUUAUUUUUCAUUUGCAGCUUGUCAUUCUGAUCACCUUUUUCCCUUUCAAUAUCAUAUACCGAUCAAGUCGUUUCUUCUUUAUCUCAUGUUUCUUAUCUUCUUUUCGGAUCAAGGUAUAAAUCCUGCUACUGCCACUGGCUCGCAACUCAAUCCAAGUAUCCGUUCGUUCAAGAUAGUUACGGAGAGUCCGCUGGUGGUGAUGUUUCUGUUUCAGUUAUAUAGUCAUUUCGUCCAAGCAAAUAUUCCUCAAUUAUUGCCUUUUAUAUGUUUCUGCUUCUCUCUCCUUGGGCUUACCCAGCAGUGUUUCUAAGAUUAGAAACUUUAAGCCUCCUUCCAGUGGCCACAAGGAAGUGGAGUUAUAUCCUACUUUACCAUGGCUAUUUUGUUGUGAAUAAUUGAAAAGGGACAGAUUUUAUCUGUUGAUCAUUAAAUAAUUUAUUUUCUUAAUCCUGUACCAAAUAUUAUCUAUCACAUGUUUACAUGUUUUAUUUUUUGUUAUUGCAGACAGUUACUUUUGUAACGUAUCUGUUGAAAAGCUAUGCUGAUUAUAUAAGGCCACAUGAAGAAAGUAUAUGUAAAAUCAUUGUGAAUUUGCUUGUAACAUGUACUGACUCUGUCCUUAUCACAAGAUUUGGUACUGUUGGAAGAAGAGACUGCAAGAAGGAUAGAAGAAGUUGUUCGAAGAAAUGUCGAGGAGAAGCUUCAGACAGAGGAAGUCAAGUUGGAAAUAGAAAGGUGCAUUGCAGAGGGAUUGAAGAAGAAGUAUGAAGAUGUUGAAGUUCAACUUGAAAAAGAAAAGCAAGAAAUGCUUGUUGAAGCUAGAAGAAAACAACAGGGAGGAAGAUGAUGAGGCUCAGGAUAUUAUACUAUACUGUGACAUGGUGACUGAUGACUUACAACAAUCAUGAAAAUCUCGGGAUGGCUAUGUUACAGAAGGUUAAAAGAUAAGAGAUUGAUGAUAAGUGACUAUAGAUAUUUGGACUAAUAUGAAUUAUGCACAUUGAAACCGUUAUACCGAAAAUGACUCAUAAAUUUGUUAUUUCUUAUUUACAAUCAUUGGCUCAUAAAUUUGUUAGAUAGUAUGAAAUUGUUUUUUGAGCUUUCUCAUCAUCGAAUUUGUAGUAUCAUCAAGGUGGGUGAAUCGAACCGGUGAUGGAUUUGAUUUGCUGCAUAUGCUGCCAAUCUUUUAUCAACAGAACCUCCAAACAGUAGGGUUUUUAUGAUUCCUUGACUACAGUAGUGCAUUCAGCUAUUUAAGAAAUUAAAGCUAAGCCACCUUUUACAUUUAUAAUUUUAGACAUAUAACUAACAAACAACCACUUGUGUAUGUCUCUUAUGCGAAUUUACCUGCAGAUUUUUAUUACCCACGAAGGUUUUAGCUGGGAACGUAAAACCACAGGAAACUGGAUUUUUAACUCAAUUCCGCAGGAGCGAUAUGGGGUAUCUUUUCAGCUUCCAAAUGUGGUAUCUUGCCUGCCCCUCUAUACCUAGAUUUCAAGUACAUAUGUUUAUAUUUGAUAGAGUCUUGUUGGCAUACUUUGUAUAAAUAGUCAAAUAGUUAUUUAGAGUAUGUAUUGUAUAAUCUAACAGAUUAUUUAUGUGAUUUUAAUAGUCAUUAUUGUCAAACAUUUGAGUUCAUAUACAAAAUGGGUGAAUUGUGGAGGUUUGAAAAUCGUUGAUUCAAAAUAAAAUUACUUUUUAAAUUAGAGUUUAAAAAUAUUUUAAAAAUAUUUAAAUAUGCAAUAGAAAGUAAAAGAGAUUAGGGAAGAAAUAACAACGCCAUAAAUUUAUAGAGGUUGGGUCUUAAAGAAAUGACAUCUUCCUCUCCUAAAAGAUUGAUCUUGAGAGUAGCCACUGUUGUAAGAGUUUUUAGAAGGUUAAGUCCACUAACCCCCUUAUACAAGAAAAUGAAAUUUCAGGCUAACUUUCAACCAAAUAAUGAAUUGAGACUUGAAGCGCUUAUUCUCCAAACCAAACAAGAAAUAGAGCUUUGAGAUUUUAGUCUCUAAGUCAAGCGAAGAUUUUGUAGAGGCUAAUUUCAAACCAAGAUGGAGUUUUGAGUUGGCUAUUCUCCGAACUUUAGACCGAGGUUUUACACAAGCUGGCCACGGAUAAAAUUGAAAUUUUUACUAGGCUGAUCUCAAACCUACUGAGUUUUUGCACAAGCUGAACUCAAAAUCGAGUGAGAUUAUAUACCAGGACGAUCUCAAACCAAUAGAGCUUUUGACCGGGCUAAGCUCAAGAAUCAUUGUGAAGAUAUUUCAUUGUUUAUUAUCCAAGAGUCCAAAAGAAAGUUUUCUUCAAUGGUAGAACUCACGAACCAAACAAAAACUUAUCUUAUUCCACAAACAAAAGAGUUUUUACAAUGGUUUAGCUCCCAACCAAAAUAAUUACUUCCUAAAGAAGAAUAAUUCACUCAAGAGAAAACUACUCUUGAUAAAUUUAUAGUUAAGCACUCACCCAAAACAAAUUUCUCACUAAACUCAAUAAGCUCUCAAAGUACUAUGGCUAAAAUAUAUAAAAAAUUGAAAAUAAUUUAGAGAUAAUUGAGAGAAAGGAAAAGGAUCCGUCCAAGCAUUAUACUUCGGUUUUUAUUAGCCGAGAUGAAAUGUCUAUCAUAAAAUGUAAAUUUGGUGGUAAAAUGUAAAUUUGUUGGUAAAAUGUACAUGGUGCCUCAACGACUUGUUCAAAAAGUGAAAUGUUUGUAUCCACUCUCAAUCUUUUCUAUUUGUAUUAUUGCUUAUGCAAGCAUCACUUUUAGACUAUAUAGUUUGUCUUCUCUUGUAUGUUUUAUCUAAAAUAAUAUUUUAAAGAACUACUAAUUAGUUAAUGAUAAAAACAGAGAGAAUGAACGAUUAAUUGUUUAAACACACACAUAACGAGUGGAGUAUUAAUUAUGAACUUUGUAUAUGGUCUAUAGUUUUUGUCAUUUAAUUGAUAGCACUCAUGGCCAAAAACCCUGCAGGCGGAUACUAAUAUCAAAAUUCAUGUACCAUGUGACUUGUGAGAGUAAGUGCAUAUCCCACUACUAGACAAACACCUUAAUCUUUCUAUACCUAAUCUUAAAAAAAUAUAAGACAAAAACUAGACAUUAGUAUAUGCAAAUCAAAGUGGAACGGGCUCAUAA